AGUGGCAAAUGAAGAAUGUUAAAUCUUAUCCUACACACUGAAUGACCGUGUGGACUAUAUAACUCCGCUUAUUAUCUGAUGCCUUC
rnacentral:snoRNA from 1 species